rnacentral:lncRNA from 1 species
GCAGUUAUAAUCGCAGCAUCAAAUAAAGCUAAACUUUAACUAGGUGAUGAUCAUGGAUUCUAAUUAGGUCAUAUUACAAGCACAUGCACGUCAAUCGAUCAAUUGGUCUUCAACUCUUGAAUUGGUUCCAAGCCUCCUUAAUUCGAUCCUUGAUCAACUCUUGAUCCAAUCGCCAUCAACCGCUUAGAUCGUCGUUCAUCUCAUGCC